UUUAGAACAGAUGUUAGUAUUUUUAAAAAAACGUCACGUGAAACGAGCAGAUGUUCAGACUGUGCAGAGACUCGCCGUGCAGCGCAUUACUGCAGAGAGAGAGAGAGCUCGGAGGAGCUUUGCUUCCACACAGACUGUGAGUCUGCAGUCCUACAUUAAAAUCAUCCAGCAGGUUUGAUUAAAAUGGAUUAAUAAAAAGGGCCACCUGCAGGGAGUAACAGGAUCUGGAGCUGACUGUACGCGCUGAGACAAAGCAGGAGCGUCGGUGCCUUAUCACACGAGGCGUCAGGAUCCUUCAGUCCACCGACAGAGGAGCCACCUGGUCAGAUGACCACAACCAUGACAUCAACAACAACAGCAACAAUAUGAAAAACAAGUGACUGACACUGAGUGACCAC